rnacentral:snRNA from 1 species
AUGCUAGCUUUGGCAGCACAUAUACACAUUGGACUAAUAUAUAGAAUGGUAGCAUGGCCCCUGCUCAAGGGUGACAUGGAAAUUUGUGAAGCAUUCCAUAUGUAA